UUGAACGCUGGCGGCGUGCCUAACACAUGCAAGUCGAGCGGCAGCGCGGGAGCAAUCCUGGCGGCGAGCGGCGGACGGGUGAGUAACGCUUGGGAAUCUGCCUAUCAGUGGGGGACAACCCGGGGAAACUCGGGCUAAUACCGCAUACGAUCUAUGGAUGAAAGCCGGGGACCGCAAGGCCUGGCGCUGAUAGAUGAGCCCAAGUCGGAUUAGCUAGUUGGUAGGGUAACGGCCUACCAAGGCGACGAUCCGUAACUGGUCUGAGAGGACGACGAGUCACACCGGAACUGAGACACGGUCCGGACUCCUACGGGAGGCAGCAGUGGGGAAUAUUGGACAAUGGGGGAAACCCUGAUCCAGCGACGCCGCGUGGGUGAAGAAGGCCUGCGGGUUGUAAAGCCCUUUCGGUGGGGAAGAAAAGUUUCGACCUAACACGUCGGGACCUUGACGUAACCCACUAAAGAAGCACCGGCUAACUCUGU
rnacentral:rRNA from 1 species